rnacentral:rRNA from 2 species
AAAAAAUAAAAUUAAAAUACUAAAAUAGUAUUUAAAUAAAUAUUUAUUGAAACUUAAAUAAUUUGGCGGUAUUUUAGUUCAUUUAGAGGAAUCUGUUUAAUAAUUGAUAUUCCACGAAUAAAUUUACUUAAUUUAUAAUUUUGUAUAUCGUUGUUAUAAAAAUAUUUUUUAAUGAGAUUAAUAUUUAAAAUUUAAUAUUUAAAUUUAAAUCAGAUCAAGAUGCAGAUUAUAAUUAAGAAUAUAAUGGAUUACAAUAAAUUUAUUUAAAUGAAUUUUAAUUUGUAAAAAUUAAUUGAAAGUGGAUUUAAAUGUAAUUUUAUUUAAUUUAAUAAAAUGAUUAAAAAUUAAAAUAUGU